ensembl:lncRNA
GUUUUUGCAUGAACGUGAGUGACUCAUUUUAGAUAACAAACAAUAUUCAUGUUGAUCAGUGAGCUGAUGUCAUUAAUGACAUGGGAAGCAUAAAGCAGUCAAUCUACAAAAAAAUAUAAAGAAGUAAUGGUAAUUAAACAUAUGAGAUGAGAUUAUGUAUUAGGGAAAUUUUUUAAUAUGUUAAACACUCACUGCAUUUGUCUAAGAGAGAGUCUAUCCUUGAAAGAGAAUUGACAUGCCAUCGAUGUUAGUGGACUCUUCGUGUUUUUGGCAAGAGAGUUAAAUCCCUAAUCAGUGAUGACACUGAGAGAUAGCCUGAGGCUUUAUCGGGAACAAUUAGAAGGAGACUGAAUUUUUAAACUCAAUUAACAACACCGAAAUGAGUGUGGCAGAAAGUGCCACAUUGGAAGAUAACUUUCUCUUACUGCAUGUGAAUUAUUCAAGGAGGAUUUUUUUUCUUAUAAUAUCGAUUAUUUUUGAUGGAAACUGUAAAAGGUUAUUAUGGAGGUCUUUGGGGAGUUUCAGAAUAAAUGAAAAAUGUGCCGUGGACAUUGAAUUAAUCUUGAUUAUAACGUUGCUACAAUGACCUGUGAAUGGGGCGGUCAGUAUUUUUUUUUUUUUACUACAUUCACUUCAUUCCCUGUUGAAUGGACUUGAAUUUAAUCGUGAUUACAUUUACAGUCAGACAGUUAGAAACUGUUCUGUAUGAGAGAUGUCAAAGUGUAAAAAAUGCUGCUUCGUGAUCUACUAUUAGGCUCUUUUUAUGACAAAUCUUAAGCAGCAUUAACUUAUGCACCCACUACAAAGACAACAUAUUUCUGAGCGACUGAGACCUAGAAAUUUAUCAGACAAGCGUUAAACUUUUAAGCUUUAAUUAAAGACACCAUCAACAAAUGCAAAAGGAAAAUUGACCCACGUAAAAGUUGAUGAGAAGCAACAGAGAGAACAUCAUUGUGUUAUAGGCCCUUAUGUACUUUAUUAGAUUAUUUAAAAAAAAAAAAUCAACAUGCUGUAGUAAUCUUCGUGUUAUUGUUAUACUGAGAGC